AUGAACGCUAGCGACAGGCCUAACACAUGCAAGUCAGGGGCAGCACAAGGAGCAAUCUGAGGUGGCGACCGGCGCACGGGUGAGUAACACGUAUGCAACCUGCCUGUAAGCGGGGAAUAACCCGUUGAAAGACGGACUAAUACCGCAUAAUACUAAAUACUGCAUGGUAAUUUAUUUAAACAUUUAUGGCUUACAGAUGGGCAUGCGCAUGAUUAGCUAGUUGGAGAGGUAACGGCUCCCCAAGGCAACGAUCAUUAGGGGUUCUGAGAGGAAGGUCCCCACACUGGUACUGAGACACGGACCAGACUCCUACGGGAGGCAGCAGUGAGGAAUAUUGGUCAAUGGACGAGAGUCUGAACCAGCCAAGUCGCGUGCAGGAAGAAUGUCCUUAAUGGAUUGUAAACUGCUUUUGCAGGGGAAUAAAGUGCAUCACGUGUGAUGUUUUGUAUGUACUCUGCGAAUAAGGAUCGGCUAACUCCGUGCCAGCAGCCGC
rnacentral:rRNA from 1 species